GAAACCCAGCAUCUUUUAUAGGAUGUUACUUUUCAGUGAAUACAUAGCUGAUUAGAGGUAGACGCAGAGAACUGAAACAUCUAAGUACCUGCAGGAAGAGAAAGAAAAAUCGAUUCCCUGAGUAGCGGCGAGCGAAACGGGAAAAGCCCAAACCAAGAGGCUUGCCUCUUGGGGUUGUAGGACUCCGAUAUGGUAGUCCAGUGAGAUAGUCGAAGGACCUGGAAAGGUCUGCUAGAAAGGGUAAAAGCCCCGUAGACAAAAUUUGACUGGCACCUAGGAGGAUCCUGAGUACGGCGGAACACGAGGAAUUCCGUCGGAAUCCGGGAGGACCAUCUCCCAAGGCUAAAUACUCCCUAGUGACCGAUAGUGAACCAGUACCGUGAGGGAAAGGUGAAAAGCACCCCGGAAGGGGAGUGAAAUAGAUCCUGAAACCGUGUGCCUACAACAAGUUAGAGCCCGUUAAUGGGUGAUAGCGUGCCUUUUGUAGAAUGAACCGGCGAGUUACGAUUACUUGCGAGGUUAAGUUGAAAAGACGGAGCCGCAGCGAAAGCGAGUCUGAAUAGGGCGAAUGAGUAAGUGGUCGUAGACCCGAAACCAUGUGAUCUACCCAUGUCCAGGUUGAAGGUGCGGUAAAACGCACUGGAGGACCGAACCCACGUACGUUGAAAAGUGCGGGGAUGAGGUGUGGGUAGCGGAGAAAUUCCAAACGAACUUGGAGAUAGCUGGUUCUCUCCGAAAUAGCUUUAGGGCUAGCCUCAGAGUAAGAAUGAUGGAGGUAGAGCACUGUUUGGACUAGGGGCCCAUCUCGGGUUACCGAAUUCAGAUAAACUCCGAAUGCCAUCCAUUCAUCUCUGGGAGUCAGACUGUGAGUGAUAAGAUCCAUAGUCGAAAGGGAAACAGCCCAGACCACCAGCUAAGGUCCCCAAAUAACUAUUAAGUGGAAAAGGAUGUGGGGUUGCACAGACAACUAGGAUGUUGGCUUAGAAGCAGCCACCAUUUAAAGAGUGCGUAAUAGCUCACUAGUCGAGUGACCCUGCGCCGAAAAUGUACCGGGGCUAAAUAGUUUACCGAAGCUGUGGAACACACCAGUGGUGUGUUGGUAGGAGAGCGUUCUAAGGGCGUUGAAGGUAGAUCGUGAGGACUGCUGGAGCGCUUAGAAGUGAGAAUGCCGGUAUGAGUAGCGAAAGACAGGUGAGAAUCCUGUCCACCGAAUGACUAAGGUUUCCUGGGGAAGGCUCGUCCGCCCAGGGUUAGUCGGGACCUAAGCCGAGGCCGAAAGGCGUAGGCGAUGGAUAACAGGUUGAUAUUCCUGUACCCGUUGUUUUUGUUUGAGCAAUGGAGGGACGCAGGAGGCUAAGGAAUCAGACGAUUGGAAAUGUCUGUCCAAGCAAUGAGUCUUGAUGUGAGUCAAAUGCUUACAUCUUUAAGGACAAGUUGUGAUGGGGAGGGAAAUAAUAGUACCGAAGUUCCUGAUGUCACACUGCCGAGAAAAGCUUCUAGUGAGAAAACAAUGGCCCGUACCGCAAACCGACACAGGUAGUCGAGGAGAGAAUCCUAAGGUGAGCGAGAGAACUCUCGUUAAGGAA
rnacentral:rRNA from 1 species